rnacentral:antisense_RNA from 1 species
CUUCAGCGAACCCAGCCACAGGGGGUGCCCGGCGUCGCGUCCCUGCCCGUAGGUCUCCAGCAGCGCCUGCGCCUC